rnacentral:rRNA from 1 species
GUGGGGAAUAUUGGACAAUGGGCGAAAGCCUGAUCCAGCCAUGCCGCGUGUGUGAAGAAGGUCUUCGGAUUGUAAAGCACUUUAAGUUGGGAGGAAGGGCAGUAAGUUAAUACCUUGCUGUUUUGACGUUACCGACAGAAUAAGCACCGGCUAACUUCGUGCCAGCAGCCGCGGUAAUACGAAGGGUGCAAGCGUUAAUCGGAAUUACUGGGCGGAAAGCGCGCGUAGGUGGUUUUGUAAGUGGGAGGUGAAAUCCCCGGGCUCAACCUGGGAACUGCAUCCAAAACUGGCGAGCUAGAGUACGGUAGAGGGUGGUGGAAUUUCCUGUGUAGCGGUGAAAUGCGUAGAUAUAGGAAGGAACACCAGUGGCGAAGGCGACCACCUGGACUGAUACUGACACUGAGGUGCGAAAGCGUGGGGAGCAAACAGGAUUAGAAACCCUGGUAGUCC